CUUUAAUCCCCCGGGCAAGUAGGCUUCACAAAACCCGCUUCUCCCUCCCCUCCAGUCCGCACCUUUGGCCUCCCCUGCUUGUGCGAAUCCGCUUCAAUAGGGGCGGUGUGCACCUGCGGGGAGGGGCCGGGCGUCGGCUCUCCACCGUUGAUCUCCGGACGCAGAGCAUUACAAAGACCCCGGGCUUUGGUUUUUGAAGAGCUGACAGGCCUGGCCCUCUCCGCCUGACCCCCGACCUGCAGGUGGGCCGAGCCAUUGUCGCCGGCAUGUAAAGCCCCACGCGGGGCUGUGCUGGGUGCUGGAAAGGGGGAUCCAUUUCAGUCGGCGCAAAGAACAACAAACAGAUGGGCCGGGUGGAGAGAGAAACCCAAGCCAGAGCAGAAGAGAUGAGGAAAGCCCAGGCUCUCCACCUGUGGGGAGCUACGGGAGACCACAAGGUGCCUUCCAUGUCCUGCCGCACAUGUUCCUUAAGGGAAGGGAGCAAGGGACUAGACAACUUCCAUCUUCUCCAAAGGGACUUGUCCCUGAGCUGAACUUACAAUUGCUACCAUGACUGCCUCAGGAGAGAAAAGACACAAGAGAUUUCUCAGACAGAAUUCCUUCUUCUGUGGCUGUGCAUGUUUUGAAGAAACAUUUCUGGAGACUUAAGGAAUGACUUCCAUUUGUACCAGCACAAAGCAAAUUUCAUCUCCUACUGCCAGCUUGCUCUCUGAAUGGGGAUAUGUAGAACCUCUGAUGCAAAAAAAAGAGCCAUUUUCCCCUUGUCCUCAGGCCUUCCUUCUCUAGCUAGGUGAGCUCCUUGAGGAAAAAGGGAAGUCUGUGAUGAGUGGAACUUCAUCUCCUGUUGUGCAGUUUUAUGCCUAAUCUCCAGCCUUCAGAGAGAAUUGUGAAACAGAAUCAUCUAUCUGACCAUCACUCAAUGAUGAACAUUCUCCUACCGUAUCCUAUACAUCCCAAUGAAUCUUAACUCUUUAUUGGUCAUUAUCAUAACCCUAUUCCCCAUCCCACCACUCAGUUCUUUGUUCCCACCCCCUUCAAUCUUCCCACCCUAAAGUUCUAAUCUGUCCAGUCAGAGUUCUUACGGUCAAGGCAAAAGAGUUGGCAGACUGCUUACUUCCUACUGCCACUUCCAGGUUCUACUUCUCCAUCACUCCAUCAUCACUCACGUCCUCCUUUGAAGUUCAUGCUAUUCAUCUCUACCACCCAAUCAAAAUCCUUAAACCUGUUUACAAUAGAUGGACACCACCACCACCACCCUUUCUCCUUCAGGGAGUUCAUUACCUAACUCAUACCUUUUUUUUCCCUUCCCCCAACUCUUUCCCUCACAUUUGGAAACUUCACUAUACAUAUUGAUUCUCCUUCAAAUACCCUAUCCACUCAGUUCCUCAACUUCCUUCCUAUGACUUACUCCUCUACCCCUCUUAACCCACACACAAGGAUGGUCAUACCAUUGUUCUUGCCAUCACCUACAAAUGUACCUCUUUCAUAUUGAGGAAUUCCAAAAUCCCCCUAUUUGACCUCAUUCUAUUGGCUUUCCACCUCUCCCUCUGUCCUCCUUUACUUUUUUUUUGUCCACAUCAUGACCUUCAGUCUCUUGACCCUCUCAGUUUUCUUCCAGGCCAUAACCCCUGAACUAGCUACUCUCUAAUAGUUUCUCCAUCUUUACCUCCUUAGUAGACUGGUUUGAUUCAGUAUUUUCUUCUCUUGAGUUCCUAGUCCCCAUUAUCAUAUUGCCAGUUGCACCCUUCCAAGACACAGCCCUCCUUUCUACCUUCACUCCUGCACAUGGGCUGCUGAACACAGGGUGGAAAAAAUCACAUGAUCAUUCUAAUUGGGUCCACUACAGAUUUAUGUUACACGGCCUCCACUGGGCCAUCACUGUGGUUAGACAAUCCUACUCUACCUUAUCAAUCGACUAUGUCUAGCUCCAUAGCAAUGCUUCUAAAUUUUUUUUAUCCUUCUUCAAACCUCCCAUGGCUCCACCUCCCCCCACCAUCUCAGCUGAGAACCUAACUUUGUAUUUUACAAAAAAAAAAAAAAAAGAUUAAGGCCAUUCACAGUGAAUUCCCCCUUUUCACCUCUUCUUCAUCUCAUAUCAUUCAUAUGCCUCCACCACUAUCUCCUCCUUCACCCUUGUCUCACACAAAGAGGUGAACUUACUCCUUCCCAAGUCUAACCCCUCUAUCUGUACAAGUGAUCUCAUUCUAGUCCCAAUAGGUUGUUCCCUCUGUAUUUUCCACUUUAUUCCUUAUUUUCACUCUAUCCCUUUCUACUGGCUUCUUUCCUUCUACAUAUAAACGUGCCUCUAAAUCACUGAUUAGAGAAAUGCAAAUCAAAACAACUCUGAGAUAUCAUCUCACAACUAUCAUAUUAACUAAAAUGAUAAAAGGGCAAAAUGACAAAUGUUGAAGGGGAUGUGGAAAAAUAAAGACACUAAUACACUGUUGGUGGAACUGUGAAUUGAUCCAACUGUUUUGGAGAACAAUCUGGAAUUAUGCUUAAAUAGUUAUUAAACUCUGUAUACCUUUUGACUCUGCAAUCCAAUUAUUAGGUUUACUUGUUAAUGGUUAUUCUUGCUGAUGAUAUUUGAUGGCCUAGAGGAGCUAGAGGAGGCUACAAUUUGUGAGUAGGUGAGGUGUUGAAAGGUAGAGGUCUAGAUGGAGUGACCCCUACUUUGCUCUCUCACACACUCUUCCUAGGCUGCGAUACAAAGGGGGAACUCAGGAAUAUGUGGUUCCCCUGAGAUAAGUAGAUGAUGAGGAGUUGAAGGGAAGUCUCCCCUAUCGGUUGAUGUAAAGGGUACCCCCAAAUUCCUGUGCACGAACUGGCC